rfam:Felis catus isolate Cinnamon breed Abyssinian chromosome C1, whole genome shotgun sequence.
GCCUGAAUGGCUCAGUAGGUUGGGCAUCUGACUUCGGCUCAGGUGAUGAUCUCACGGUUUGUGAGUUGGAGCCCCGCAUCAGGCU